rnacentral:rRNA from 1 species
AUUGAACGCUGGCGGCAGGCCUAACACAUGCAAGUCGAACGAGUGGCGGACGGGUGAGUAAUGUCUGGGAAACUGCCCGAUGGAGGGGGAUAACUACUGGAAACGGUAGCUAAUACCGCAUACCAUCGGAUGUGCCCAGAUGGGAUUAGAUAGUAGGUGGGGUAAAGGCUUACCUACGCGACGAUCCCUAGCUGGUCUGAGAGGGUGACCAGCCACACUGGACCUGAGACACGGUCCAGACUCCUACGGGAGGCAGCAGUGGGGAAUAUUGCACAAUGGGCGCAAGCCUGAUGCAGCCAUGCCGCGUGGAUGAAGAAGGCCUUCGGGUUGUAAAGUACUUUCAGCGGGGAGGCGUUACCCGCAGAAGAAGCACCGGCUAACUCCGUGCCAGCCGCCGCGGUAAUUC